CCUACGGGCGGCUGCAGUGGGGAAUAUUGGACAAUGGGGGCAACCCUGAUCCAGUCAUGCCGCGUGUGUGAAGAAGGCCCUCGGGUUGUAAAGCACUUUCAGUGAGGAAGAACGCCUGGUGGUUAAUACCCAUCAGGAAAGACAUCACUCACAGAAGAAGCACCGGCUAACUCCGUGCCAGCAGCCGCGGUAAUACGGAGGGUGCGAGCGUUAAUCGGAAUUACUGGGCGUAAAGCGCGCGUAGGUGGCUUGAUAAGCCGGUUGUGAAAGCCCCGGGCUCAACCUGGGAACGGCAUCCGGAACUGUCAAGCUAGAGUGCAGGAGAGGAAGGUAGAAUUCCCGGUGUAGCGGUGAAAUGCGUAGAGAUCGGGAGGAAUACCAGUGGCGAAGGCGGCCUUCUGGACUGACACUGACACUGAGGUGCGAAAGCGUGGGUAGCAAACAGGAUUAGAUACCCUAGUAGUC
rnacentral:rRNA from 1 species